rnacentral:rRNA from 1 species
AUUGAACGCUGGCGGCGUGCCUAACACAUGCAAGUCGAGCGGUAACAGGUGUAGCAAUACAUGCUGACGAGCGGCGAACGGGUGAGUAAUGCUUCGGAAUCUUCCCAGUAGUGGGGAAUAACUAGCCGAAAGGUUAGCUAAUACUGCAUACGUCCUACGGGAGAAAGCAGGGGAUCGCAAGACCUUGCGCUAUUGGAUGA